rnacentral:rRNA from 1 species
UGCGUAGGCGGAAAAUUAAGUCAGUGGUGAAAGCCCGCAGCUCAACUGUGGAACUGCCAUUGAAACUGGUUUUCUUGAAUAUAGCUGAGGCAGAUGGAAUAUAACAUGUAGCGGUGAAAUGCUUAGAUAUGUUAUAGAACACCGAUUGCGAAGGCAGUCUGCUAAACUAUUAUUGACGCUGAGGCACGAAAGCGUGGGGAGCGAACA